UUUUCUUUUUUUUCUUUCCUUUUUCUGUUUUUCCUUCCCCCCCAGGUAGCCGUGUAGCUGUGUUUCCACAAGGCGCUGCAGCGCGAAGUCCCAGAAUUCUGGGCCCUCAUCUCCUUCUAGUCCCGUGAAGGCAAUUUAAACGCCUACAAAUCCUGCCUGCAUUUGGGCAAAUAUCCUUAGAAUUAGAAAAGUCUUCGGCUUUGAUCUGAAGCACAUGUUAAAUAAAGCAGGAGAGAGGUUUAGAUUCUCUGUCAGAACGGUGCCAGGUUGCUAUGCUAAGCCAUGGAGGGGGAGCAGAGAAACCCUCCCUUCCUUUUGGAGAAGGACAGGAGGUUUCUGGAGAGCAUACGAGGAAACAUGCUGACAGAAACUGAAAAAGUGGGCUGUGCUGAGCAAGGGCCCUCUGAGGAACGCUACAUUAUAUACCGUAAUGCAUUUGACAAGAUAAUAGAGUAUGUUAGUGCACACAAGCACAUCCUGACUUCAGUCAGACAGGAAUAUGAGGCAUUUAUUACCAGAAUUAAGAAAGGCCAAAGGAAUGUGUUUUUUCUUUGUGAGAGAUUAAAAGCUCUGGAAUCUGAGUCCACAGUUCUGUUAUACUAUAGGAAAAGAGCAAAGGAGCUUGAAGACAAAAUAAAAGCUAUUGAGAAGAAUUCUGCUAAAAUUAAAAAUGAAAUAUUAAAAAUUCAACAUAUAGGAAAGGUGCACUCUGAAACCUUUGGUUACACAAGAGAAAACAGUACAUCCUGCUAAGCCCAUCCCACCUCUUGAUGUCCCUAGUAGAGUGGCUGGGGAUUCACUUGAAUAUUUUGAAAGUUCUUAGCUGUCUUGAAGGAAUAAAUCCGCAUUUGUAUUUUGACACUCUCAUAAACACAAGUACUGCAUCUGGACACCUUCCAAAUUUACCUGUAACUCUGGAAGCAAUUAAAUGUGCAUUGUCUGAAAAGCAAUUAAACGUGGUAAACCAUCAGGUUACACGGCAAAGGGUAACCUUUUCUGAGGCAGCGGGAGACGUUAAUUACGAUUAUGGGAAAGAGGAGCCAAACAACAUGAUGGAAUGCCUGGCUUGGGCUCAGGCUGCAUAUGGCCAUUCUGGUGCAUACAAAAAAAGUUGCAUUGUGCCUCUGUAAACAGGGCCGAAUUGCUGGAGCAGUGGAUUAUAUUCAGCAAGUGGAGCACUUUUCUUUAGAUGAUUACUUCCUCUUAUUGGAAAACUGCCCUAGCACUGCAUUAAUUCUCUGUCUCAGUCAACAGUGGAUUAGAAAACCACAAUUUUCAUCUAUGGGGGCUACAAUUCUGUCUUAUCUCAGCUGAACACAAAAAGCAUGGCUUUCAGCUUUUGGAGGAAAUGAACAAUAAAAGUAAGCACGGCAAAAUUUGAAUAACAAACUUUCAAACUUGACAUUUUAAUUCAACUCCAGUUUCAGCCUAUAAUUACUUUGGAUUCAGUGCUCCUUUUUUAUAAUGGAAACUAAAAAGCUUUUCCUUCA